rnacentral:tRNA from 1 species
GCACCAGUGGUUAAGUGGUAAAAUAGUACCUUGCCACAGACUAGACCCAGGUUUGAUUCCUUGCUGGUGCA